rnacentral:lncRNA from 1 species
AGGGCUUUAUUUCAUACAUUGCAUCCAUCAAGUCCAUUACAUGAGUUAAUCAUUGCCAUUAUCACUUAAAUCCUGCAGUCUCCAAGCCAAAGAAAUUGGAGAUUAUCUAUGUCUGAAGUCCUUGUCUAAUGUCUCUUCAUGGUGUGGAAGUGACCCUGGGUUCUUGAAGGCUGUGCAAUUGGAGUGCAAGCUGGAAGGCUUCAUAUUUAGGAUUGGUGACACGUGAUGUCCAAGGACAGGCUUAUGUUUUCAGAGGCAUGUCACCAAAAGACUGGCCAUCAGGUAAUUUUUUUCAGCCACAAUAACUCAGAAAGGCUGUCAACUAAGUAGAGGGAACUUGAUCAGCUUUGUUAAAGAAAGCACUCAGACAGAUGAAAUCAUGGAUCCCAAAAAUAUGAAAGUAUGGCUUGAAAAAUAUUCCUCUCUUUUCUUGGAGAGCAAAAAGUUCUGGGGAAACGUCUAAUAAUUUGCAGCUUAAUCAGCAAAAAAUGAUGUUGGGUUUAAGGGAUUUGGAGAGCUGCUUCUCCUUAAAAAUGAAUAACCAAUUUCAGAUUUAUGUACAAGCAGGGCACUCAUUUCUUUGAACACAAGAUGGUUUUAUGUCACAGAAUCACAGACUUUUAGAUCUGUAAGAUCAUUAACUAGCUCAAUUCUUCCAUUUUACAGAUAAGGAAACAUUCCCAAAGAGAAGUAACUUUCUCAAAAUCACACUGUUAAUUAAGCAGUAUAAUUGGGACUGGAAUUGCAAAGACUACACAGGGAAACAUUUCAGUAAUGGAAAAAUUUUCAGAAAAAAUAAUUGAAAGAUUACAGACACACACACACAUGCACACACACAUACACACACAAUAUACAAGCAAUCUUUCAUUUAUUUUUCCUAGAGAAUGUCUGUGUAUAUAUAGUCUCAUAUAUAAUAUUCUCAUCUCUAAUAUACACAUAUAUGUAUCACUCUUAACCUUCUCUUAAAGCUUAAAGUAAAAUGUUGUCUUAAAUCAUAUUAAUGCUUAAUUGAAAACGGCUCAAAUUAGGCCUAAAGGGGUUGAUUCUGCUGCAGCAAGAGUAAUAGUAGAGUCCACUUUAAAGUAUAAAACACUUCUCAAUCAAACCUAUGGAGAAUAUAGGCACUGAGGCACAAUUCCACUAUCUUUCCAACUAUGAUCUUAUGUUCCAAUUAAUACAACUUUUAUGAAAUCACGUUUUGUAAUACACAAAAGCAGCAUGGUAUAGUCAAACAAGCACUGGAAUUGAAGUCAGAGAUCAAAUUAAAAUCCUACCACUAAUAGAUGAAUUGACCACUGAGCAGGCUAUCUAAUAUCUCUAAGCCUGUUUCCUCAACUGUAAAAUGGGUAAAAAAUACAAGGUAUGAUUCAGAUUAGGCAAGUAAUAAAUUAGAUAACGUACAGUGGUAUAAAUUUCUUGGAACAAGCAAUUGUUUUCCAUUUGUGCUUCUACUGACACCAAUUUGACAUAACCAUUUGACUUGAUCAAAUGAAACCAGAUUGAGCAGGUUUUCUAACCUUGAGUUUGUUUGUCUGCUAGAUGAGUGCUGGAUUUUGUGACAUACACAUUUCACUGCUUUCUUGUGUUUUUAAUUUUGUAAUUUUAAAAAAUGGACAAAGAAAAUGCAAACAUUGUAGCUCUUAAAGACAUACUUCAAUGUUCACUAGAUAUGCCAAUAGCUAUUAAGGUGGAGAAGCAAAGCAUUUCAAGGAUCACUAAUAAAACAAGGAUCAGAUGCCUUGAAGUUUAAAGGGAGGUGUGACAGAAAAUGAAAACAACACUUCUGACAAAAUGUUCCUGUAAAGCAGCCUGACAAUCCUCAGAAAAUAAGCAUUGACCUUCAUGAGGUCCCUGGAAGAUAGGAAGGUGGUUAUUGAUUCUUCUACAAUUUCAAAAAGGUUUUGUGAAGGUGGAAGAAGAGCAAGAUGACUGGUGCAAAACAAAACAAAAUGAAACAAACAAACAAACAAACAAAAAAAAACCAUUUCCACCCCCAUUCCCUACUUCCAGCUGCUGUAGUGCCUUUGCCAUUAGAAAAAAUGCCUGUCAUGGGCAAGAAAAAGUAAAGGACUGAAGAUUGGAAAAAUGUGAUUUUUACUAAUGAAAUGACUCUUUCAAUCAAAGUUAUACUGAAACUGUUGUCAGAAAAAAAAUUCAGAGCCUAUAAGAUUUGAACAUCUAGACUGUAAAAUAGCCACCCCAAAAAAUACUUUGGGGAUUUUUAUUUUUUACUUCCAGUGAACCUGAAAGUCUUGUUCUCACUGAAGGAAUGAUGAAUUGCUGAUAACUAUUGUUAUUCCAAGAAGCAGAAUUGUUCCAGAAUCUGGAAAUUUCCCAAAAAAGAGGUGGAAUAUUGCAAUGUGGCCCUGCACCAUGCCACAUAUCAAAUGUCACAUGUCACAAAAAGCUGAGCACAAGAGAUGGGAGAUAAACAUACAACAAUGGCCUACAAAUUUUCCCAAAUUAAAAGUCUACUGAAAAGCUACAAGCUAAAUGCUAAGUCUUGGGAAAAUGGAUUGUUUAAAGUUAUGCACAACAUCCAAUGUAAUAAAAGUGUGGUUUCAUGAUAAAGAAUGUGUCAGUAUCUUAUAAACUCAAAGAAAGUCAAUAAAUUUAAAUAUUUUUACUUUGUCCCAAGUAAUUCACACAGGACAAUACAUAAGUAAGGCACUUUGCAAAUCUUAAAGUGCUAUAUAAAAGUUAGCUAUUUUUGUUAUUAUUACUUAAAUGGUCUGCACAACUUCCAGGACCUUUAGAUAAAAGAACAUUCAAAUUGUCUAGUUUUCAGUGGCUCUGAAGUUGGAAUAACUUUGUAUUAAGUUUCUAAUAGUAUAUGUGGAUCUAAUUAUACCACAGCACACAUACUGAAUAAAGGAAAAUGAAGUUAAAAAACUCCAUUUCUGAACCAAAGUAUGGACCCCAUCCAGAAUAUAAGCUUUUUGCCCUGGGUAUUUUCUUUUAAAUUGCUAAACUGAUGUUUUAUUAAAUACUUUUCCUCUGAACCACUGAAGGCUCUUUAAACAAUAUUGCUGUCUCUUUCAAUAACAAUUUUUCUAUAUGGUAGUUCUUUCCCCGAUAAUUCAAUUUUUAUUCUCCCCCAAUACAGCUAUUAAUCUUGCCUUCCUUCACAAAGGUGUUUCAUUACAUAGGCACAGCAAUUCAAAACCAAAAGGUACAAUCAAUAACAUUUUCUUCAUUUAAAGUCCAGGAGGCCUGGGGAUUAUUAUUCUUUUUUAAACAUCCCCUAUCUCAGACACACAAUUUGGCUCAUAUCAUAAAAUAGAAAUGGCUAGUUAGCUCAAAGAGGGUAUAAGACUGAAAUUUAUUUGCCAGGCACAAUGCCCCCUAAGCCCCUUCCUCCCCCACCCCCCCAUAGAAAUACUUGCAUAAUUUGAUAUUAUGAUGCAAAAAUGCACCUUUAUUUUCCUGAAUGUAUAUAUUCCCCUUAAAUCCCAAAUCUCAUCCUAACUUGGAAUGGAAAACAACCCCAAGCACCACCUCCCUUACCUCCCCCCACCUCUCACAUCCUAACUCAUCAUACACUCAAAACAAAAGUCAAAUGUGAAUUCUAGGGUUUUAUACAACCACCAAAAAAAAAUUUUUUUUUUUUUUGUUGCAAAACUAGGUUUUCUAUUCUACUGCAUAUAUCAAAGUUAUCUAAACAGUGAUAGUAUUCACACAACAGAAGGGGGGGUUAAAAUGAGCUUUUUAUUAGAAUGCAAUAGUUGGGAUUUCAAGAGGGAUGCCCUACAGAAUGUUCUUAAAUUAAACACCUAACUGUGGCCAGUAAAAAAAAAAUCAGACUAAUGGAAAUCUGCCAGUAAUCCCCUUGCAUACUUGUGUGUGUGUGUACGUGUGUGUGUGUGUGUGUGUACGUACACAUACACAUAUACAUUUGUAUAUCUAGAUAUACGUUGUAUAUGUGUUGUGUGUACAUAUAUCCAUAUACAUGUACACACAUUUACAUAUAGUGAUGCAUUCAUAUCAGAACUAAUUCUGGCACCAUUAAAAAAAAUUAGGUAACUUCUGCCACUUUAGAACAAUCUGAAGGAAAAUAAGAAAAGUAGACUUGAUCCUUCUCAAUGUUUCUGUAGACUAAAAGGAAGAACUCAAAACUAACAAUGUAGGCAAUCCUGACUUUAAAGAUGGGGUAUCUAAAGCUCUACCCAAAAUGAAACACUGAAGUGAUGUGAUGGAAGGAACAUGCUUCGUAUGUAUGGAUUAAAGGAGAUGGGUGGGCAGGAAGGAAAAAAAAUAUUCAGGACUAGGUAGUCUUUUAUACACUACCUAAAGCAUACCCAUUGGUGUUUGCUGUUGUCACUUGACAAGAGCACACACUAGGGUUUAACUCACAGUUCUCUCCAUCAAUAACAAACAGUAGGAAAAGAAAAACAAAAUAAAAAAUCCACCCCCCCCAUACCCAAACCCCACCCCAAACCAACCUUCUUGGCUUUGCCACAAUCUAUCUCCUCACUUUUUUCAAUAGCAUGCAGCUUUCCUGAGUUUCUAUUUUGUUUUAUUUUUCAGUUUUUUUUGUUUUGUUCUUUUUGAUAAGCGUCCUAGUUUCUGGAAACUUAAAACUAAGCAACAUGCUCUCUGCUGGAGGAAUGUGGCUGAGGCAGCAGCUGCUCAACGUUCAAUAAUUUCAGGGCUAAGACCUCCGAGCUUCUUAUGAAGUCUGUCCAACAAAUUCUGCUGAAAAUAAGACGUCUAUGCCAUGGAUUCUUAUUAAUGGUGCCUUCCCAAGCACAAACCGGUCCAGGAGGAAUUAUGUCCAACUGGAAUACUUGAGUUUGCACUUCUUUAUCACUAACUCCAUUAUUACGAGCCGAUUAAAAAAUAUUUCAAUCUGUAAGAUUGCCGUGAGGGGAGGCAGUCAGAAAUGGGUGAGAGAAUGGGGGGGAAGACAAAAAAUAAAAUAAAAUCCAACCCACUAAACACAUCUGUAAUCACUGGGUUCUGUUUUCACUAUUCACACAAGGGCAUUCUUGGUCUCCAGUGCAUCUCACAUGUUCUUGUGACUGGCAAGGUACUAAUGUGAAAGAAACCAAAGGGUGGCAGAAAGAGGGAAAUCUUCCACUUGGG